AUGACGCGUUCGUCGGUGCCCUCAUCGAUGGUCAUCGAUGAACGCGCAAAUGCCGGUGGCCGAGACGUGGAGAAGAAGGGCGCAAUCGCCGUGCUCUUGGAGCACCAAGAAAUCGACCCCGGGUAUUACACUGACACCGUCGUCAAAGGCAUCGUCUUGGUACUGCUCACUGCCGGCACCGACACAUCGGCGCUGACCACGGAGUGGGCGAUGGCGCUGCUUGUGAAGCACCCAGUGGUGAUGCGGAAGCGCGGCAUGAUGAUUCUCGUGAAUGGAUGGGCGAUCCACCGGGAUGUCAAUAUCUGGGAUGGGCCAGAGGAGUUCCGGCCGGAGCGGUUCUUGGAAAGAGACACGGUCACCACGCCCAUGCUGCCGUUCGGGCUUGGUCGGAGGCGAUGCCCCGGGGAAGGGCUGGCGAUGCGCCUUGUCAGCUUGUCUGUGGCAGCACCCGUGUAG
rnacentral:rRNA from 1 species